rnacentral:lncRNA from 1 species
AACAAAAUCUGUAAUUUGUAUCCAGAAAUUAACAUUAAUUGCAGAUGCUGUAUCCUCGUUUUCGCAGGGUUCUUUUCAAAGGAUGCUGUUCAAAGGAAACAUCACUCUGUUCAAAUUGUGCUGGCAUGACACAGGCCAACCACAAGGCAUCAUGCAAAUGAGGCCAGCGAGCUCUGUUCAGUGUGCUUUACUGCUGUCUGCCUGGUUGUUAUAGUGAUAAGCCGAGGCCCUGAGCCUCUCCGAUCCUACUUUUAAGAUUUCACAGCAACCUUCUUUUUUUCUCCAGGGAUAAUUAGAGGAAGGAAGAAAAAAAAAAUUACAUCACGAAGAAUACCCGAGAGGAUAUCUUUAGAUUGGAGAGCACUGAGAGGAGCCUGUUCUGGCCAUGCCAGUUCUCAGCAUUGAUGCUGAGUCAGAAAUAGGUAUCCCAAAAUCCCUUUGUGAUGAACUUCCCUUAAAAGCCAUGGAGGAAUUAGAGCACACUUGCCCUCAGCCUCGCUUGGUAAGUAGACAGAAAAUGUUCCAUCCGCCUGUGAGUGAAACACAAAGGAUUUAAAGAAAGCCGUGCUUGCAGAUGCAUUGUGUAAACAAGUAAGCUGCAGAUUAAUCCAUCUGCUGUGUGCUCCAUACAGUAUCUGCUGCAUGCAGGGAACUUUGAUUACAAGGGAGCAGUGAACAGGGAGGGCUAAGACAGCUUUCCUGUAAUUGCCCACAGUGUGUAUGUGUGUGUUACAAUGUAACGAGUCAGUCACCCUUUAGGAUUUAUAGGAAUUGAAUUCUUCUUUUUCAGGGGUUACUCAUUAGAGCUGAAAUUUUCAUGUCAUUAGUUUGGUCCCUAAAGACCCUGUGCCAGUAUUCAAUGUCCUUUUAAUUUCGCAUUUGCAUAUCUAUACAUUCUGAAUAUUGAUAAAUGCUCCAUUCUGAAAGAAGAUCUUUAAAGGCUAGUUUGUUAUGACAGACUUAUUCAGUUAUUGGACCUUUAGGGAUUAAAAUCCCAGUAGGCAUUAUAGAGAAGUAUCAGAACCCUUCGUUCCCUUGUAUAGUAUAGUACUAUAACCACGAUUCUCCUAAAUAAACCACAUCGCAAACUGACUUGAGAUAACCUAUGAUUUAUAUACUAUGGCCAUAAUAUUAAUGUAACCAAAUGCGUUAUAGACGUUGUAUUGCCCUGCAAGUGAUGAGGCAUGGUAUUCUUGUAACAGGCCCAUUCUUUAAAAAAAAUUUUUUAAUAAAUUCCCAUACUGUUGAUUAGGAUAUGUACUGAGGCAGGAUGUCUUGCAUGUUAUGUUGAAUAUUAGAUUAGCUUUUUGCCUUUUUUGAUUGCAGAAAAUAAUAUGGACAGUAAAAAUCAGCUAAGCGAUUGAUGGCUUGUAAAUAAAAGGUUAAACACUUUCAGGGUAUUCACUAAAUUGAGAAUUCAAGGUGACUUGGAAGUGCAUUUUAGAUGCAAGAUCUAAAUAGCCAAAUGGAAAUAUUCUCUAAGUUAGUUUUGUUUUCAAUUUGAAAUUCUGUUUGAAUUCUCAGUGUAGUAAAUUACUCUGUUUUUAAUUAUCAGAAGCAUAUACCCAUAUUAGUAAACUAAUCUAUAAUUUUAAUUUUAUAAAUGCCAUGCUUAUUGUGAACAGCUUUAAUUAUGAUAAUCAACUAUUAGCUAUAAGAAAUCUACCACGAUUACUAUGUAUCAAUUCAUUUUUAAUUCGGGUACUGUUAUAACUCGUCUGCAUUCUAUUUUCUAGACAUAUUUGGGAUUGCUAGCUAAACAUGGAAGUGUGUUAAACUGGCGUAAGAAUUGUACUUCUUAGGACAAAAAAUCAACAUUUCACCUUUUUUUUUUACAGCUUAUCUAUUUUGGCAUAACAUUUCUUGUCAGUUAUCCACAUUUCCUUUUUUGUGACUCACAGCAAAUUCCAGGUUUGAAAAUUUAACAGAAUAUGCGAGGAAAAAGCGUUGACAGACG